GGAGAAGUACUCAAGUUGGUGACGAGGCGCCCCUGCUAAGGGUGUAGGUCGGAUUUAAACCCGGCGCGAGAGUUCGAGUCUCUCCUUCUCCGCCA
rnacentral:tRNA from 1 species